GAUGAAGAACGUAGCGAAAUGCGAUAAGUAGUGUGAAUUGCAGAAUUCAGUGAAUCAUCGAAUCUUUGAACGCACAUUGCGCCCGCCAGUAUUCUGGCGGGCAUGCCUGUUCGAGCGUCAUUUCAACCAUCAAGCCCCCGGCUUGUGUUGGGGACCUGCGGCUGCCGCAGGCCCUGAAAACCAGUGGCGGGCUCGCUAGUCACUCCGAGCGUAGUAGUUACAUCUCGCUCAGGGCGUGCUGCGGGUUCCGGCCGUUAAAAGCCUUAUUUACCCAAGGUUGACCUCGGAUCAGGUAGGAAGACCCGCUGAACUUAAGCAUAUCAAUAAGCGGAGGA
rnacentral:misc_RNA from 1 species